GCCUGGGUGGCUCAGUCGGUUGGGCGUCUGACUUCGGCUCAGGUCAUGAUCUCGCGGUCCGUGAGUUCGAGCCCCGCAUCGGGCU
rnacentral:tRNA from 1 species